rnacentral:rRNA from 1 species
UACGUAGGGUGCGAGCGUUGUCCGGAAUUAUUGGGCGUAAAGGGCUCGUAGGCGGUUUGUCGCGUCGGGAGUGAAAACUCAGGGCUUAACCCUGAGCCUGCUUCCGAUACGGGCAGACUAGAGGUAUGCAGGGGAGAACGGAAUUCCUGGUGUAGCGGUGAAAUGCGCAGAUAUCAGGAGGAACACCGGUGGCGAAAGCGGUUCUCUGGGCAUUACCUGACGCUGAGGCGCGAAAGCUAGGGGAGCAAACAGG